rfam:Asian citrus Psyllid, Diaphorina citri - Florida Strain, whole genome shotgun sequence.
UAAUAUGAGUGGAGGUUUGAAGUCUUCGCUGUGUUCAAUUUUCAAGUCCAGUGAGAUUCAACUCCUCCAACUUGUGUCA